GACAGAGGUCCCGAGCGUUAGGCGGAAUCACUGGGCUUAAAGCGUGUGUAGGCGGACUUCUAAGUACCUCGUGAAAUCCCACGGCUUAACCGUGGAACUGCUUGGUAUACUGGUUGUCUUGGGCCAUCUAGGGGCUACUGGAACAAACGGUGGAGCGGUGAAAUGCGUAGAGAUGUGGAGGAACACCGAUGGCGAAGGCAGCCCCCUGGGUCAAGACUGACGCUCAUGCACGAAAGCGUGGGGAGCAAACAGG
rnacentral:rRNA from 1 species